AGAGUUUGAUCAUGGCUCAGGACGAACGCUGGCGGCACGCUUAACACAUGCAAGUCGAACGAGAGAAGAGGAGCUUGCUUUUCUGAUCUAGUGGCGGACGGGUGAGUAACACGUGAGCAAUCUGCCUUUCAGAGGGGGAUACCGAUUGGAAACGAUCGUUAAUACCGCAUAACAUAAUUGAACCGCAUGAUUUGAUUAUCAAAGAUUUGUCGCUGAAAGAUGAGCUCGCGUCUGAUUAGCUAGUUGGUAAGGUAACGGCUUACCAAGGCGACGAUCAGUAGCCGGACUGAGAGGUUGAUCGGCCACAUUGGGACUGAGACACGGCCCAGACUCCUACGGGAGGCAGCAGUGGGGAAUAUUGCACAAUGGAGGAAACUCUGAUGCAGCGAUGCCGCGUGAGGGAAGAAGGUUUUAGGAUUGUAAACCUCUGUCUUCAGGGACGAAAAAAGACGGUACCUGAGGAGGAAGCUCCGGCUAACUACGUGCCAGCAGCCGCGGUAAUACGUAGGGAGCGAGCGUUGUCCGGAAUUACUGGGUGUAAAGGGAGCGUAGGCGGGAUCGCAAGUCAGAUGUGAAAACUAUGGGCUUAACCCAUAAACUGCAUUUGAAACUGUGGUUCUUGAGUGAAGUAGAGGUAAGCGGAAUUCCUAGUGUAGCGGUGAAAUGCGUAGAUAUUAGGAGGAACAUCAGUGGCGAAGGCGGCUUACUGGGCUUUAACUGACGCUGAGGCUCGAAAGCGUGGGGAGCAAACAGGAUUAGAUACCCUGGUAGUCCACGCCGUAAACGAUGAUUACUAGGUGUGGGGGGACUGACCCCUUCCGUGCCGCAGCAAACGCAAUAAGUAAUCCACCUGGGGAGUACGACCGCAAGGUUGAAACUCAAAGGAAUUGACGGGGGCCCGCACAAGCAGUGGAGUAUGUGGAUUAAUUCGAAGCAACGCGAAGAACCUUACCAGGUCUUGACAUCGUAUGCAUAGCUCAGAGAUGAGUGAAAUCUCUUCGGAGACAUAUAGACAGGUGGUGCAUGGUUGUCGUCAGCUCGUGUCGUGAGAUGUUGGGUUAAGUCCCGCAACGAGCGCAACCCUUACUGUUAGUUGCUACGCAAGAGCACUCUAGCAGGACUGCCGUUGACAAAACGGAGGAAGGUGGGGAUGACGUCAAAUCAUCAUGCCCCUUAUGACCUGGGCCUCACACGUACUACAAUGGCUGUCAACAGAGGGAAGCAAAGCCGCGAGGUGGAGCGAACCCCUAAAAGCAGUCUUAGUUCGGAUUGUAGGCUGCAACCCGCCUACAUGAAGUCGGAAUUGCUAGUAAUCGCAGAUCAGCAUGCUGCGGUGAAUACGUUCCCGGGCCUUGUACACACCGCCCGUCACGCCAUGGGAGUCGGUAACACCCGAAGCCUGUAGUCUAACCGCAAGGAGGACGCAGUCGAAGGUGGGAUUGAUGACUGGGGUGAAGUCGUAACAAGGUA
rnacentral:rRNA from 1 species